rnacentral:rRNA from 1 species
UACGUAGGGUGCGAGCGUUGUCCGGAAUUACUGGGCGUAAAGAGCUCGUAGGUGGUUUGUCGCGUUGUCCGUGAAAACUCACAACUCAAUUGUGGGCGUGCGGGCGAUACGGGCAGACUGGAGUACUGCAGGGGAGACUGGAAUUCCUGGUGUAGCGGUGGAAUGCGCAGAUAUCAGGAGGAACACCGGUGGCGAAGGCGGGUCUCUGGGCAGUAACUGACGCUGAGGAGCGAAAGCGUGGGGAGCGAAUAGG